UACGUAGGGGGCAAGCGUUGUCCGGAAUCAUUGGGCGUAAAGAGUGUGUAGGCGGCUCGGUAAGUCCGCUGUAAAAGUCCAGGGCUCAACCCUGGAAAGCCGGUGGAAACUGUCGAGCUAGAGUCCGGAAGAGGCGAGUGGAAUUCCUGGUGUAGCGGUGAAAUGCGCAGAUAUCAGGAGGAACACCAAUGGCGAAGGCAGCUCGCUGGGACGGUACUGACGCUGAGACGCGAAAGCGUGGGGAGCAAACAGG
rnacentral:rRNA from 1 species